ensembl:lncRNA
CGCAGUCAGGCGGCCCACGGCCCUGUGAUGCAAAUGCCGCUUUAUCCGCCCCAGCGCACCCACCACCCCAGCGCGGGCCGGCGUCCCCAACGUCCACAGACCCUUCUUAAUUUUCGAAUGCAUGCCAAGGCCACAUCUGAAGGUGGGAAAACAGCAACCAAAACCAAAACGCAGACAAAAAGAACUCGAGCCCAGAACCUCAGGGUCAUUUCUGGGCUCUGCCCCAGGAAGCUCCCGGGCCAAAUCUGGCCGAGGUGCAUCCAGGCCAAGUCCGGGCUGCGCCACCGCGCUUCGUCAAGCCCACGCCCGCGGCACCCUCCGCGCCUCUCGCGGGCAGCGGCCCAGUCCUCUCCCGGGAAGGGGCGCGCGGUCGCCAGCCAGCCGAGAAUUCCAUGCACGAACCUAUUCCCUCUCCCCGCGCUUCAGACACCUCUCUCAUCGGAAAACCGCGUGAAGGGAAGCAGGCACUCAGCAGAGGACCCUGGCUCAAUUAGUAAGUUUUUGUUUUUUGUUUUUGUUUUUUUUCUUCCCCUCAUUCUACCUUUCUAUCCAGAAACCAGUUUCCGCGGAACAGAAGAUGCUGGGUGGAGGCCGAUAAAACCCUUGUCGAUGAAUUCACAUUGCCCUCUCCGCUUCCCACCUUCCUAG